AUGGCCGCUGAUUUGGAAUGGAAAGCUGCCGAGAUCGUGGCCGUGCUUGGCUGGCUGCUCUCGCCCGUCAUCACCUUGUUCCUGCCCAAGAUCCUUGUCUGCCUUGGCUUCCACGCAUCCAAGAAGCUCCAGGAGCUGGAGAUCCACAUCAUCCCGGAGCUGGAGAAGACGCUGCGGGCCGUGGAUCAGGAGAGGAUGAUGCAGAGAGGAGAGAGGGUGAAAACCGAUUUGGAUGCGCUGGACAAGAUGGCCGCCAUGCUGAGGCACGCUCUGGAGGACGCCGAAGACAUCUUCGACGACGCACAGGAGAAGAUCGUGCUCGGGUGCUGGCAUCACAUCUGUGGUGCUUUCGCCGCCUGCAGAAGCAGCAGCAGCUGUGUCUGGAUUGCACGCGUCGUCCAGACAAAAUCAGCUUGGAUACUGCAGUGGGUGCGGAAGAUCAUCUCCUGGUCUCGAUGGCUCCUACGAAGGCCAGAGGAUGCACUUCCUGUGAUAACCUCAGAAUCCUCAUCGGGGUGGUGGCUCUCUUGCUUGUGCAGCUCGUUCGACUUGUUCAAGAAAUGUGCUUCAUCACUAUACAGCUGGUUAGCUCAUGUGUUUGAGGCUGCCUGCUUUUACAGAGACUGGUCAUAUCAAGUGGUUGGCAUCAAUAAAUGUCAGGAGAAUGCCUCCUUAUUCGAUAUAUUAGAUAUAUUCCUUACUGCUAUCUCAAGAGAGGAAUUGAAGAAAAGAAUACAGAAGGUAGAAAACACCGUCAGCGAAGUGAAGAAGUCACAACUCUUGGGUGUGGCAAGUAACAGCACACCAGAUGAUAUUGCCAACAAGAACAGGAGCAGAAUUAAAGCUGCUAACAAACACAGGAGCAAAAUUAGAAUUGGUAGUCCCUGUAAGGUAUUUGGUCGAGAGAAGUUGCGUGAUGAUAUAAUGAAAAAGCUCCGUGAGAUACCACAUGGUGAUACACCAAGCUCGAGUACUAGUCCAUGUUACUCUGUGAUUGGCAUAUAUGGUGUUUCAGGGUCCGGAAAGACUACAUUUGCACAAUAUAUUCGAGAUUACAUAAAGGAGGAAUGCAAUGAGAAACUUUUUGAUACCAUCAUGUGCAUUCAUGUGUCUGAGAAUUUCAGUGUGGAUGAUAUAUUUCAUGAAAUGCUGAAGGAUAUUACGAAAGAUAGACACUCCAAUAUUUCGGAUCGUGAAGAUCUGGAAGAUAAGUUGAAGGAAUCAUUGAGUGGAAAACGUUUCUUUUUUAUAUUGGAUGAUCUCUGGGUGAAGAACAAGAACGACCCACAACUGAUGGAACUAAUCUCUCCACUCAAUGUUGGGUUGAAAGGAAGCAAAAUCCUGGUGACGGCUCGAACAAAAGAAGCAGCUGGAGUUCUGUGUGCCAAUGAACUUAUUGAAAUGCCUGAUUUGGAUGAGGAUCAAUACAUGAAGAUGUUUAUGCAUUAUGCUUUGAGUGGUAAAAGUAUUGCCGUUAAAGAAUUGGAACAAGUUGGGAGAGAGAUUGCCAAAAAGCUACAUCGAUCACCUAUUGCAGCAGUAACAGUUGCAGGACGGCUUGGGGCAAACCCAAAUAUCAGUUUUUGGAAAAAUGUUGCAAAGCUUGACAUGUUGAAUGACACCAUGGAUGCUCUUUGGUGGAGCUAUCAGCCGCUUAAUCCGGACAUAAGGCGUUGCUUUCAAUUCUGCAAUAUUUUUCCCCGAAGAACGAAGUUGAGAAAGGAUGAGUUAGUUCAUCUGUGGAUAGCGCAAGGGUUUGUAAAGAGCAGGUGUGCAACAGAGGACAUGGAAGACGUAGCUGAGGGCUACAUUCAAGAGUUAUUGUCAUGCUCAUUUCUUCAAGCAGAAGUAGAUGAUUACUCUGAAGUAGAAUACUUCACAAUUCAUGAUCUGCUGCAUGAUUUAUUAGCCAAGGUUGCUGGAAGUGAUUGCUUCAGAAUUGAGAAUACAAGGAACCACAGAGGAGAAGGAUGGAAGGAAGAAGUCCCUCGAGAUGUCCGCCAUCUUUUUGUUCAGAAUUAUGAUGGAGAAUUGAUUACUAAGAAGAUCCUUGGAUUGGAAAAUUUACGCACUCUUAUCAUUGAUGCUGUUAAUGGGGAUACACCAGUUGAUGAAAAAGUCUUUGAGAGUAUAUGCAAGAGGCUGCCGAAAUUGCGGGUACUAGCCGUUGCUUUCAGGGAGACGUAUUAUGGAAUCAUGGAACACAAAAAGUUCUCGGUCCCAAAAUCUAUUGCUCAGUUAAAGCACCUACGCUAUCUUGCUUUCAGGACAGACUACUCAUGCUCUGUAACUUUACCAAGGGCACUAACAAAACUUCAUCAUAUCCAGCUGCUAGAUUUUUACUUGGCAAAAAUGUUGGAAUUCCCCUUUGCUGACCUUGUCAACUUGCGGCACAUGUUCUGCUGGCCAAACUUGAAAUUCCCUAACUUGGGCAGGCUGAUCUCACUCCAAACACUACCAUGCUUCACAGUAAGCAAUGAACAGGGUUAUGAGAUAAGGCAGCUGAGGGACCUAAACAAGCUUCAAGGACGACUGAGAAUCAAGGGCCUGCAAAAUGCUAAUAGCAAGGAGGAAGCUCUUGAAGCCAAUCUAGCUGCCAAGGAACGGCUCACAGAACUGUGCUUGGUAUGGGGUUGUGAUAAUGAUACAAGGUGCAGUCCAGAAGUUGAAGCAGAGGUACUUGAGGGCCUGUGCCCUCCCGUGGGGCUUCAAAAACUUAAUAUAUAUGGAUACAGAGGUUCAAGGUACCCAGAUUGGAUGGUGGGUAAGCAGAGCGGUGGCCCACAGGGCCUGCGAAAUCUUCAUCUCCGGGGAUGCAGCCAACUGGGACCUGGUCCUGAAUUUGAGGCUUUCCCUCAUCUUGGUGUGCUCCAGAUUUGGUUCUGCAGCUGGGACUCCUUACCAGGCAACAUGGAGCACCUCACGUUGCUCAAGAAACUAGAUAUCGUGGGUUGCGAGAAUAUCCGGUCUCUUCCAACACUGCCCCAGUCUAUUAAGCAAUUGUAUCUUGCUUUCUCCAACUAUGAGUUGAUGAAGUCUUGUAAAACAGUCGGACAUCCAAACUGGCAAAAGAUUGAGCACAUCCCCAGGAAACAGUUUCGGUGA
rnacentral:rRNA from 1 species